rnacentral:lncRNA from 1 species
GCCUAAAACUCAAAAGAAACAUUCGUAAACUUUAUUAAUUAAGAGCUCCUUAAACAAAAAUAAAUUACGCAAUCUUUGAUUUUAUUUUUUUAAUAUAUUAAAUAUCUAUAUGCGAGAAAAGAAAAUUUUGGGGACCAUUGCAAAAUUAAACUAACUGAAAAAAAAUUCAAAAUUUCUCUAAUUUACAAACCUGUUAUCUUAAUAUCUAGAAGUUGAGAAGACAAGGCCUAUUUGAUUGGUAUAAGAUUUCGAUUUUUUUUUUUUUUAGUCCAUAGAAUCCAAAAUGUUAGUUCAAAAUUAGGGAAAAAGUCAUUUUUUUUCCACUAGCUGUAAUUGUAUCCAAGUCAAAUUGAGAUACGACCCUUUUCAAAAGGAUUUAACCAUCUUACAGCCUCCUUAAGGCACAUUUAAGCUAAAAGGAGUGAUUGGAGGCAGAACUAGGUGGGCCAAUCAGUCCAUUUUAUUAGUGACCGUUGCUUAAAAAAAAUUAUACUCUAAACCACACUUACUUUUUUGAAAAAAAAAUGUAAUUAUAUUGAAAUAAAAUCAGGUGGGCCAAUCCUCAUGGCACUCACUUUGUUCUAACACUCUUCACUAAAUUUGAAGAAAAAUAAAAUUAUACUCUUCACACUCGUAUUCAACAUUCCAAAAAUUUACAAAACCUAGUUGAAAUCCUCUUCAGCCGUUUGCAAUACUUCAAAUUCAACUUUUUAAGAUCAGUUAGGCACUCUAUUGAUGACGGAACUUCUUCUAUUGCAGACUUGCUCAAGUUUAGCGAUGUUACUUUCCCAGAAAUCAGUGGAAACUCUAUGAGAUUAACACAAUAGGAGAAAUUAAUAGUUACUGGACAAACAAAAUGAAGAUUGCUUGGAAAAGACCUAAGACUUUUGCAGCCCUCAAAAGACAACGCACUGAGAUACUUGAAAUUCUGGAUAGAUGAGGGAACACAAGCCAAGUUUGUAUAAUCCAAAAGAUAUGUUUCAACAUUUGGGGUUUCAAAUGGGCCUGGCAUCUUAAUGAAAUGUUGAGAAUGGCUGAGGUUAAUAGAUUUUAACUUGAAAGCUUCCUGCAAUAACAGAUAUAUAAAGACUAUAUUAAUUAAAAAGCAACAUUGAAUUCAACAAUUAAUUGCACGUAUAUUUAAAGAAAGAAAAAAUUAAUGUUUUAGUUUUAGUACAAAACUUACCUUUUCUCCUUCCCAAAGUUGCUCAACUUUACUACAACUCAAAUUCAGUGCAACAAGGUUCUUUGGCUUGAAAUUUGAUGGCAGUGUCCUUAAUGGAUAUGUGUCCCAAUGAAGAUAUCUCAAUUUUUUAGGAAGAUAAUCUAGGCCAUUUGGAAGCUGCACUUUAGAGUAUGAAAGAUGCUCUUCAAUGCUCAUACUUGGAAGCUUUUCAAUCCCAUAAAAUUUGAGCAAUCUCAUAUUAGACAUAUUUGUGAAGGCUCCGGGGUCUAAAUUGAUGCGUUUUAUUUUGGACAAAUCCAGAAAUAUGCCUUCAAUUGCAUCGGUCCCCUUAUUAAAAAAAAAAAAAAGAAUGAGUAAGCCUAAAACUCAAAAGAAACAUUCGUAAACUUUAUUAAUUAAGAGCUCCUUAAACAAAAAUAAAUUACGCAAUCUUUGAUUUUAUUUUUUUAAUAUAUUAAAUAUCUAUAUGCGAGAAAAGAAAAUUUUGGGGACCAUUGCAAAAUUAAACUAACUGAAAAAAAAUUCAAAAUUUCUCUAAUUUACAAACCUGUUAUCUUAAUAUCUAGAAGUUGAGAAGACAAGGCCUAUUUGAUUGGUAUAAGAUUUCGAUUUUUUUUUUUUUUAGUCCAUAGAAUCCAAAAUGUUAGUUCAAAAUUAGGGAAAAAGUCAUUUUUUUUCCACUAGCUGUAAUUGUAUCCAAGUCAAAUUGAGAUACGACCCUUUUCAAAAGGAUUUAACCAUCUUACAGCCUCCUUAAGGCACAUUUAAGCUAAAAGGAGUGAUUGGAGGCAGAACUAGGUGGGCCAAUCAGUCCAUUUUAUUAGUGACCGUUGCUUAAAAAAAAUUAUACUCUAAACCACACUUACUUUUUUGAAAAAAAAAUGUAAUUAUAUUGAAAUAAAAUCAGGUGGGCCAAUCCUCAUGGCACUCACUUUGUUCUAACACUCUUCACUAAAUUUGAAGAAAAAUAAAAUUAUACUCUUCACACUCGUAUUCAACAUUCCAAAAUUGAUAAAAUCGGGAGUUUUCUUUAAAAAUUUAAAAUUUGAAGACUUGUUCUCUUGACACCCUCAGUCAUUAAUUUUACCUAAUUAUGGUUUUUAUGAUUUUGGUUGUUUUGUUCAUAAAAAUGCUUUUACUAAAGGAUGUUCUGGUAAUAAUAAAAUUUAUAAAAAAAACAUGGGUGUGCUGAUAUAGUUGGAAAAAUAUGAGUGCAUAACUCCAAACAAAUAAAAGAUAUAUAUAUAU